AGAACUUGGUGAUACGCAGCGAACGAUGGUUCCUCGCCUUUGCACGGCGGAGGUCAGGAGUUCGAAUCUCCUCGGGUCCA
rnacentral:tRNA from 2 species